rnacentral:rRNA from 1 species
UACGUAGGGGGCAAGCGUUAUCCGGAUUUACUGGGUGUAAAGGGAGCGUAGACGGCACUGCAAGUCAGAAGUGAAAGCCCGGGGCUCAACCCCGGGACUGCUUUUGAAACUGCGGGGCUGGAGUGCAGGAGAGGUAAGCGGAAUUCCUAGUGUAGCGGUGAAAUGCGUAGAUAUUAGGAGGAACACCAGUGGCGAAGGCGGCUUACUGGACUGUAACUGACGUUGAGGCUCGAAAGCGUGGGGAGCAA